rnacentral:rRNA from 1 species
AUUGAACGCUGGCGGCAUGCCUUACACAUGCAAGUCGAACGGUAACAGGUUAAGCUGACGAGUGGCGAACGGGUGAGUAAUACAUCGGAACGUGCCCAGACGUGGGGGAUAGCUCGGCGAAAGCCGGAUUAAUACCGCAUGUGAUCUGAGGAUGAAAGCGGGGGACCGUAAGGCCUCGCGCGUUUGGAGCGGCCGAUGGCAGAUUAGGUAGUUGGUGGGGUAAAGGCUUACCAAGCCUACGAUCUGUAGCUGGUCUGAGAGGACGACCAGCCACACUGGGACUGAGACACGGCCCAGACUCCUACGGGAGGCAGCAGUGGGGAAUUUUGGACAAUGGGCGAAAGCCUGAUCCAGCAAUGCCGCGUGCAGGAUGAAGGCCUUCAGGUUGUAAACUGCUUUUGUACGGAACGAAAAGGCGCCUACUAAUACUGGGUGUUGAUGACGGUACCGUAAGAAUAAGCACCGGCUAACUACGUGCCAGCCGCCGCGGUAACAC